GGCCCUGGGGGGCGGGGCGAGGGCUGAGCCACAGCAGGCCAGCUGCGCCCCCUUCACACACCGAGCCCAGCUUCCCCGCCCCCGGAGCACCCCCCAGCGGUACCUUAAGCAGUCGUCUGAGCAGGGCCUUGUCUCGGUGGAGGCGCAGACCCGGAGAGGCCCCGCGUUCCCAGGACCCUUGGGUGGAGACCGGGGACCUCACCUGGCAUCUUGGGCUCCCCGAUGCGGAGAACGUGGGGCCAGUGCUGGAGCGUUUUGAUAAAGAAAGGGUUUGUGACUCCCAGGACCACGCUUGGUCUAGAGAGAGAGAGAGAGAGAGAGGGAGGGAGGGAGGAGAGGCAGACGCAGGCGGAGGGCGCAGGGCGCAGGGUGGGCAGGGCGGCACUUACGGGGCCUGCGUGCGGGUCGUGAACUCCUUGAACUCGCUAUCAUGGACGGUGAAGUAGGGGCGGUAGUCGCAGCAGAACUUGAGGGGCUGCAGGCAGCUGUGGGGAGGGACCCGCAGGGACAGUCAGUUCGCAGGGCUGGUCCGGGGCCCCCGGCCCCUCGCGUUGCCGCCCGACCCACCUGGUCAAGGCCAGCACCAUCUCCGAGGACACUGCGGGCGAGGGCGCCAAGACCAGCAGGGGCUCCCCAAGAAGCAUGAGCUCCCACAGCAGCUGCACGUGGGCCAGCACGGGCCGGAAGCACCUGGGCCGGCGGGGGCGUUGGGGAGGCCGGGUGGGAGGCUCCCCAGCCCUUGCCCACCUGCCCCGACCCAGGCCCAGGCAGGCCCUGUCUGGGUGAAGGCUGGGCCUCACUCCAGAGGAAGGCGGCCGUGAGGCCUUGUGAAGAUGCCUGGCCUCGCGCCCCUGCCAUGCCUGAAACCGACAGCCCUGGCUCCCGCUGGCCCCAGCACAGGGCCAGAGGGUCUCCAAAGGUGGGGUCCUCUGAUGGCCCCCCAGAGAGGGCCCCUCUGGCAGCAUCUCUCACCACAGCUGCUCCCUUCCCUGCUCCUGCCUGCCAGGACCUGACUUCCUGCCCACGGUGCCCACUUCCUCUGGGGGCAGACAUCGGGGCACCGGGCUCCUCUUCUGCAGACUCUCCCUCUCAGAACGGGCGGGGGGUUAACUCCUGAUGUCCCCCAGCGCCCCCACCCCGAUGGGCUGAGCCCUGUGGGAUCACUCAUCACCUACCGGGGCAGCAGGUGGUGGCCUGCCAGGCUCACCUGAACAGGUCCAGCUCAUGGACACUGGUGAGGACGACUGGGGCUGGCAGCAGGUUCUGAGAGGAAGGGGGGUGGGGUCAGGCCGGGGGGAGGAUGACGCCUCACAAGCCCCGAGCAGCACAGGUCAUCCCGGGAGAGUCCCGGGGGCCGCAGUCCCUACCCACGUGCCUCCCGGCGCCCCACAGCCCUGCACGGAGACGCAGGCCCUGUGUCUGGGGUCUGGCCACCCCCCAGUAGGUGAGGUGGGGAGGCCCAGGCAGGUGGGAGGGUUGAGGGUUGAGACAGGUAUGGGGCCGUCAGCCUGGGAGCAGGGCGCCCACCUUGUGGCUGCACUGCUUUGGAGGACCGGAUUCAGGCUUGUCUGCGCUGGAUGGGAUGUGCACCUAUGGGUGAAGGAAGCAGCUGCCAGUGGGGCCGGGUGGCGUGUCGACGCGCACUGGGGCCGUCCCGCCCCAGCCAGGCAGCCCUCACCUGGAGGACGACUCCCAUGACAGGCAGGUUCAAGGUCUGCCCCGGCACAGGGGCCGGCCACUGGUCAAUCUCAUUGCAGACUGUGAACACAGGUGGCCAGCGUCAGAAGCCUGUCCUGGAGGAAGCUGCCCGCCGGAGCCACCAGGAGCUACAGCUGGGAUGAUGACGAGGCAGCUCUGGCAGCGCCUGCCGGCCACUCACCCGCUUCCAGGCAGGGCGCCAGCUUGUCGAAGUACUCGGGGGCAACCAGGCUCAGCAGCGCCUGGAACAGCCGGACGAAGGGCAGGCGGGACACCAGCACCAGAGACUGCAGGGCCCAGGGCUGGCUGCUGCGUGCUCUCCCCAGACCGGGAUCUGCCUGGGAGUCACGGCCCGGAAGGCAGGCAACCGCUCUCCAGGGACAUCUCCGCAGACACAGUGGUGAGCGGUUCAGGGGCCCAAGAGCACCGGCCUCUGCACACCGAGCCACGCCCUGGCGCACACGUGGAGCACAGGAAAAGCCCCAAGGACCCUGGCAAGUCCUCAGAAGCGCUGGCCCACCCCCAGUCGAGGCUGGGGUGCCGGGCCUGGCCUGCGGCAGUUGGAGACCCUGCUGGCUGGGGCUGGCCAGGCGCCUUGAAGGGCCGCUCACACCCGCCUGACCCUGGCCUGCAGGGGCAGGGGAGGAGUGCUGGAGAGGCAGCCCGGCUCACCUGCAGAGACACGGGGGCCCCACUGUCACAGUGCCUGUCAUCCGUGUGCCAGGGGCGCCUCUGCCCUCCACACUGACGAAUGCGGAAGCAGAACUGAGUAUCCCCGAGGCAGCCUGGGGAAGAGGUGGUACCCUCACGCUGUGUCCGGGUUGGGCUGGAGCCUCUCCUGCCAGCAUGUGGGGCGGGGGGCCAGGGAGGGGGCGAAGCCCCUGCCGGGCUGCAAAUGCCUCAGAAAAGCCCAGCCCUCCGGCUCUGUGUCUCCCGACAGAGGUCCCCGUGUCUAGAUUCCUGCACCUAAGGGUUUAAACUCAGCACACAGAGAAGCACAGCCACAGCCCCGCAGCGCGUGCACUGUGGGCAAGCACAGGCCGGGGCUUGUGUGGCCCGGCGUAGCCUGCCCGGGGAGGAAAACCAGGCCGACCCGGACACCUGAGCCCUGGUGAAGCCGAGGCCAGGACCCAGCUCCUGGUGACCCCUCUGCUGGGGUGAAGGAGACCAGACCCCACUGCCCAGAGACACCUCUUUCCGCGGGAACCGGGGAAACCGGCUGCCGCGGCGUGGGGCUCUGGCUGUCCCCCUGGAGCGGGAAGGGGGACCGGUGCUUACAGGCUGUGCAGGCCUGGCCGCAGGGGCUCUUGGGCAGCCUCAUCUCCCUCCUUCUUCUUCUCCCCACAGCCCCAGAGAGACACCCAGACCGGGGCGAGGCGGGGUGGCCUACCUGAGUGGGAGUCGGGAAAGGACAGGUAGCAGAUGCUGCUUUUCUGAAACACAGGAAAGCCAGUGAGGGCCUGCUCCCCGGGUGAGGUCUGCUCCUGAGAGGGCUGGGACCCACCUCCUUGUCCGUGAGCUGGAAGUCGCUGGGGUACACCAGCUGCGGGGGACACAGAGUACUCGGUGACAUGGGCUUGGCAGGCUUGGUGCUGGGCUGCAGGUGUGUCCCCCCCACCCCAGCACUGUCAGACCCUCUGGCUCUCCCCCACCUCUGGCUUCCUGCUGACCCCUCCUCCUCUCUUCAGGGCUCCAGCGCCCUGCCCUGCCUCCCCAGGCCCCUCUCGGCCCGAGGCCACUCCUGGCCCCCAUCCUUCCCUUUUCUCGGCCAGCGCACAACUGGGUGAGCUCCUGGACUCCCUUCUCACACCCCUCGCCCUCAAGGCCACUCGCCCAGACUGGGCCUCCCUGCCCCACGUCCCGACAGUCUGUCCCCAAAGCCUCCUCUCUCGCCUAGAGCGGAUGCAGGGCCCUGCCUCCUGGCCCCCACCUCCUGUACCCUCUCAGCGCUCCGAACCCAACCCCACCCAGCCAGAGGGUCUUAGGCUCUGCGGCUCCUCUGGGCCUGCUCUCCCAGACGGCCUGGCCAGCCUCCCCAUCCCGUCUUAACUCAGAUGUUGCCUGACACUGGCACCCCUGCCUCUGAGCAUCUUCACUCCAACCCCUGCUAGUCAGGGGUCCGGGAGCUUCUGGCCUGCUCCCCGCUUGGAGUGUGACCCCUGGAGCACCCAGGCCCCUGGAGUGUAUGGUGAGCGUGACCAGCUGGACAGGCUCUACCUGGGAGACAGGCCACACUCUAGGGGAGCCAGUAGCCCUGUACGCAGGCAAAUGGCCAGAAUGGAUUUCUUUGCAGGAAAGGAAAAAGGCAGGGAACCUCCAGAGCCCUCACUCCCUGCAGGCCCCCAAGUGUCUCCUGGGGACCUGGUGCGCCUUGGGCAUCACUGCUGCCCUGGCCCGUGCUCAGGUGCAGCAGGACGGCUCUCCCAGGAAGCGGCUAUGCCGGGAGCCAGGAGCUGAGGGCCUGCAUGCGUGGCCCCCUCCUUACUCUGUCGGCCAAACUCCCACGCGGAGGAGGACUUGGGUUUUGGCUGACAUGAGGCUUCCUCUGGGGUGUGCCCUGAACCCCCAGAUGGUAAGGUACUGUGCCCUGGGACUUGCACUGUUGUAAUAAUGUAGCUUCUGUCUUUGUUUGCUCUGGGCUUGCUGCUCUGGGCCUAUUCUGUCUCCUCCGCUGCCACCAAGUGUCCUAAGGACAGGGACCGUGUCCCAGGUACUUCCCAGCCCCUGGCAGGGAGUAGACCCUCACCAGAUACUGUACAGUCACACCUCGUUUAUCACAUUUGCUUUAUUGUGCUUCACGGAUGUUGCAUUGUUUACAAAAUAAAGGUUUGUAGCAACCCUACAGGUGCCACUUUUCCAGCAACACUUGCUCACUUUGCAUCUCUGCAUCAUAUUCUCGUAAUUUUCACAACAUCUCAAACUUUUUCAUUUUUAUAUUUGUUACAAGGUAUCUACGUUGUUUUUUAAGAUAUAAUGGUGUUUCUUGCAUACUUAAUAGACUCCAGUCUAGCGUAACCAUAACUUUUAUAUGCGCUGGGAAACCAGCAAAUCUGUGUGACUUGCUUUUCUGCAGUGCUCUGGAACCGAACCUGCAACAUCUCCAAGGUGUGCCUGUAUUUGUGGAGUGCGUGAAAACAUGUCUCCAAAGAAUAAUGGAACAGUUGGGGCAUGUGGAAAUCUCAAGAUGUCAGCUAAGGAGGCACCAAGAAGGAAGGGCCAAGAGGACGGAGGGGAGCCAGCCAAACAGUAUUUGUCUGUGGGGCGGACCCACAGGGGUACCUCGAGAUGGCUCCAAGAGAGGAGGGGCCGCAGGACCACUCGGGCCCCUGCGCGUCCUUGCUGGGAAGGGCAGAGGAAAGGCGGGUGCCUGGCAGCUGGCAGGGCCACGAUGGGCCCUCGGAGCUGAGGUCAGGGGUCUGAAUCUGGUCUGCAGUCACAGGAGUUUUGUAGCAUCUGAGCAGGCUCCACAGCCAUGCCCAGGGCUCCAAGUUCACUGUUCACAAGCUGGGAGCAGAGAUGGAGGGACGGCCCUGCCUGACUGAGGAGAGGAAUGGAGCGGACCCUCAGAGAGGGGCAGAGGGCGAGGGUCUGCCGCACGAUGAACCCUGUCCCCUGGAACCACAGGGGUCUUGUCCUUUCCACGGGAGCCAGUCUGCAGGGGCUGCAGCUCCUGUAACCAAGUCGCCCCUGAGGAAGACAGAUGCAGCGAGCCUCGCCUUGCUGGAGAAGUGUGGCUUCCAGAGGCUGUGACACAGGCCGUCAAGGGGAACUGACUGAAGCUGACGUGAAGAUACAGCGGCCUUCUAUUUGGCCUUUAAAAAGGGACGUAAAAGUGUCAAAUAAUGCCAUUCUCCUCACUGAAUUUGUUUCUGAAAAUGGUUGUUUUUGUGGAAAUAUAUAUAUUUUUAAAGUAAGUAAAUAAAUAUUUAUUUAUUUUC